GAAUUUUGGACAAUGGGCGAAAGCCUGAUCCAGCAAUGCCGCGUGCAGGAUGAAGGCCUUCGGGUUGUAAACUGCUUUUGGACGGAACGAAAAGCUUUUGGUUAAUCCCCUGGAGUCAUGACGGUACCGUACGAAUAGGCACCGGCCAAUUACGUGCCAGCACCCGCGGUAAUACGUAGGGUGCAAGCGGUAAACGGAAUUACUGGGCGUAAAGCUGGGGCAGGGGGGUUUGGAAGACAGAGGUUAACACCCCGGGAGCAACCUGGGAACUACCUUUGUGACUGCAAGGCUAGAGUACGGCAGAGGGGGGUGGAAUUCCGCGUGUAGCAGUGAAAUGCGUAGAUAUGCGGAGGAACACCGAUGGCGAAGGCAACCCCCUGGGCCUGUACUGACGCUCAUGCACGAAAGCGUGGGGAGCAAACAGG
rnacentral:rRNA from 1 species